AGCGGAGGAACAUGUGGUUUAAUUCGAUGAUACGCGAGGAACCUUAGCCGGGCUUGAAUUGACAGAGGAAGGAUUUGGAGACAAUGACGCCCUUCGGGGUCUCUGUGAAGGUGCUGCAUGGUUGUCGUCAGCUCGUGCCGUGAGGUGUCGGCUUAAGUGCCAUAACGAGCGCAACCCCUCUCCUUAGUUGCCAUCAGGUGAAGCUGGGCACUCUGGGGACACUGCCACCGUAAGGUGUGA
rnacentral:rRNA from 1 species